UCAGGUGGUUAUAGCACGAGGGUUCCACCUCUUCCCAUUCCGAACAGAGAAGUUAAGCCUCGUCACGCCGAUGGUACUGCGUAACAGUGGGAGAGUAGGUAGCCGCC
rnacentral:rRNA from 3 species